rnacentral:sRNA from 1 species
UUGAAGCCAAAAGUCGUACGCAAAUAGA